rnacentral:rRNA from 1 species
GUCCACGCCCUAAACGAUGUCAACUGGUUGUUGGGUCUUCACUGACUCAGUAACGAAGCUAACGCGUGAAGUUGACCGCCUGGGGAGUACGGCCGCAAGGUUGAAACUCAAAGGAAUAGACGGGGACCCGCACAAGCAGUGGAUCAUGUGGUUUAAUUAGACAAUAAACGGGGAACCUUACCCAGGCUUGACAUCCUACGAAUCUGGCGGAAACGUCGGAGUGCUCGCAAGAGAAUGUAGAGACAGGCGCUGCAUGGUUGUCGU